rnacentral:rRNA from 1 species
CCUACGGGAGGCUGCAGUGAGGAAUAUUGGUCAAUGGACGAGAGUCUGAACCAGCCAAGUAGCGUGAAGGAUGACUGCCCUCUGGGUUGUAAACUUCUUUUAUAAAGGAAUAAAACGAGGCACGUGUGCCUUUUUGCAUGUACUUUAUGAUUCAGGAUCGGCUAACUCCGUGCCAGCAGCCGCGGUAAUACGGAGGAGCCGAGCGUUAUCCGGAGUUAUUGGGUUUAAAGGGAGCGUAGAUGGGUUGUUAAGUCAGUUGUGAAAGUUUGCGGCUCAACCGGAAAAUUGCAAUUGAUACUGGCAGUCUGGAGUACAGUUGAGGUAGGCGGAAUUCGUGGUGUAGCGGUGAAAUGCUUAGAUAGCACGAAGAACCCCGAUUGCGAAGGCAGCUUACUAAACUGUGACUGACAUUGAUGCUCGAAAGUGUGGGUAUCAAACAGGAUUAGAUACCCGUGUAGUC